ACGGGGACGAGGUCGGGCAUG
rnacentral:miRNA from 1 species